GAGAGGGCAGGCAGAACACUCCUCGGUCACCUCAGCAUAAGGCGCUAGUCGAUUCAGGCGCAGCGGGGAAUUUUAUUGAUCGCGGACUCGCUAAGAGGUUGAGGAUUCCGCUCGUUAAGGCCGGUGGUAGCUGGUCCCAUGCAGGAAGGUGAGGUUCCGG